rnacentral:tRNA from 1 species
GCCAACUUAGCUCAGUCGGUAGAGCAAUUCACUCGUAAUGAAUAGGUCGCGGGUUCGAUUCCCGCAGUUGGCU